rnacentral:misc_RNA from 1 species
AACGCACCUUGCGCUCCUUGGCAUUCCGAGGAGCAUGCCUGUUUGAGUGUCAUUAAAUCAUCAACCUCCUCCUUCCUUGUGGUUGGAGGGGUGUUGGACUUGGAGGCUUGCUGGUCUUGUUUGGCUGGCUCCUCUGAAAUGCAUUAGCAGAGUCUUGUGCACAUCUGUGGCUUGGUGUGAUAGUAUAUCUGCACCUUGCAAUGUUGUGCAUCAUCUGCUACCCAGCCGUCCGAAUUUUAGGACAGUUUGACUAUUUGACCUCAAAUCAGGUAGGACUACCCGCUGAACUUAA